rnacentral:rRNA from 1 species
UGAACGCUGGCGGCGUGCCUAAUACAUGCAAGUCGAGCGAACGGACGCGAAGCUUGCUUCUCUGAUGUUAGCGGCGGACGGGUGAGUAACACGUGGAUAACCUACCUAUAAGACUGGGAUAACUUCGGGAAACCGGAGCUAAUACCGGAUAAUAUUUUGAACCGCAUGGUUCAAAAGUGAAAGACGGUCCUGCUGUCACUUAUAGAUGGAUCCGCGCUGCAUUAGCUAGUUGGUAAGGUAACGGCUUACCAAGGCAACGAUGCAUAGCCGACCUGAGAGGGUGAUCGGCCACACUGGAACUGAGACACGGUCCAGACUCCUACGGGAGGCAGCAGUAGGGAAUCUUCCGCAAUGGGCGAAAGCCUGACGGAGCAACGCCGCGUGAGUGAUGAAGGUCUUCGGAUCGUAAAACUCUGUUAUUAGGGAAGAACAUAUGUGUAAGUAACUGUGCACAUCUUGACGGUACCUAAUCAGAAAGCCACGGCUAACUACGUG